GGGAAGGUGGCUCAGUGGUAGAGCACUUGCCUUGCAUGCAUGAGGCCCUGGGCUCGAUUCCGCAGUAUCA
rfam:Dipodomys ordii contig_2177, whole genome shotgun sequence.